AUUCAGGAUUUGUGUUUGGCCAGAAGUUUGAGCGGUGUCUCUUUUUUUUUUCUUUCUUUCUUUUUUUUUUUUUUUUUGAGACGGAGUUUCGCUCUUGUUGGGCAGAGGCUGGAGUGCAAUGGCGUGAUCUCGGCUCACCGCAACCCUCGCCUCCCGGGUUCAAGUGAUUCUCCUGCCUCAACCUUCUGAGUAGCCGGGAUUAUAGGCAUGUGCCACCACGCCCAGCUAAUUUUUUUUUUGUAUUUUUGGUAGAGAUGGGGUCUCCGUGUUGGUCAGACUGAUCUUGAACUCCCGACCUCAGGUGACCCACCUGCCUCGGCCUCUCAAAGUGCUGGGAUUAUAGGUGUGAGCCACUGUGCCCGACCCUGAGCGGUGUCUUAGUUAGCGGGGGAUGCUUUAACAAAAUGCACAAAGUAACAAAAGAGCCAAGCCAUGAAAGAGAAAGCAACAGGAGAAGCAAGGAAAGCACAGAUUUACUGAAGACAUUUCAGAGUGGGAGCAGGCUCAAGCAAGCGGCUCAGGUGCCUCUUCUUUUGGGUUUUUGUUUUGUUUUGUUUUUUGAGACCGAGUCUCUGUCGCCCAGGCUGGAGUGCCAGUGGUACGAUCUCGGCUCACUGCAAGCUCCGCCUCCCGGGUUCACGCCAUUCUCCUGCCUCAGCCUCCCGAGUAGCUGAGACUAUAGGCACCCACUGCCACGCCUGGCUAAUUUUUUUGUAUUUUCAGUAGAGAUGGGGUUUCACCGUGUUAGCCAGGAUGAUCUCGAUCUCCUGACCUCGUGAUCCGCCCGCCUCGGCCUCCCAAAGUGCUGGGAUUACAGGCGUGAGCAUGAAUUUCUUCUUUACAUGUAGCUUCCAGUACCCAGAUCACAUGAUUUUUGAUGGAAGUCCAGUGUGAUCCGUAUUCUUGUUCCUCUAUAGGAAGUUGGGGAAGUCUAUGGACAUGUCCUCAGCUUGCAGAUUCUCUCCUGGGCUGUGUCCAGUCCACUGACGUCCGAGGCACAAUCCCCCGUGUGACCCUGCCUGGCGGCGGCCUCUUGUUAGAGCUGUAAGUCACACAGGCUUCUGCCUGUCCUCUAGCUGAGUGUCACUGUAUUGCGUCCCACCACCAAAAGAAUCUUUAGAUCUUAUAAAACAUCAAUACACAGGCUUCUGCCUCUCCUCUAGCUGAGUGUCACUGUAUUGCGUCCCACCACCAAAGGAAUCUUUAAAUCGUACAAAACAUCAAUAAAGGAUUUGAGUCCUAAA